ensembl:snRNA U6 U6 spliceosomal RNA
AGAAAAAAAAAUUGGAAUGAUACAGAGAAGAUUAGCAUGGCCCCUUUGCAAGGAUGACACGCAAAUUCGUGAAGUGUUCCAUAUUUUA